rnacentral:misc_RNA from 1 species
GAUGAAGAACGCAGCGAAAUGCGAUAAGUAGUGUGAAUUGCAGAAUUCAGUGAAUCAUCGAAUCUUUGAACGCACAUUGCGCCCUUUGGUAUUCCAAAGGGCAUGCCUGUUCGAGCGUCAUUUGUACCCUCAAGCUUUGCGUGGUGUUGAGCGUCUUGUCUCUAGCUUUGCUGGAGACUCGCCUUAAAGUAAUUGGCAGCCGGCCUACUGGUUUCGGAGCGCAGCACAAGUCGCACUCUCUAUCAGCAAAGGUCUAGCAUCCAUUAAGCCUUUUUUUUCAACUUUUGACCUCGGAUCAGGUAGGGAUACCCGCUGAACUUAAGCAUAUCAAUAAGCGGAGAA